UCGUUUCUUUUAGUAAUUUAGUAACAAUGUGGAUUAUUUUAUACAGAACACAUUUUAAAGUCUUCCUUUUGAAAAAAAAAAAUUAGAUCAAACACCUUGGUGCCCACCAGCUGCGGGGUAAAGUUAUUGUUAUCAAUGAAAUCGCUGGUGAAAAUACUUGACGUGCUUUUUCCUGCUUCUCCAGGAAAAAUGGCUAACUGCUAAUGUUAGGCUAGCUUGUCAGAUACAUUUUGCUUCCGGUGUGUGUAGUUCGGAGGGGAUGAUACCUCGCCAAGGAUCUCAACCUGUUUCUGAGAGGAUUACCAACCUAGAAAGCAGCACGACACAUAUAACAGAACGUUGAGGAGAACAGGGACUGGCGGAGGGCUGGAGUAUCCGAACGAGCUGAGUGCCGACAUGGUCAUGUUAUUCAUGAUGACCUGGUGCAUCUGGGCAUUUUGGAUCAUCAUCAGCUCUACAAGGAGGAAGGCUGACUGACAGACGCUCCCCACCACCACCUCCUCCUUCCCUGGCUGUGGGCAAGCUUUGUAUAGUGCCUAUCACGAACUCGAGCCAAUUAACACGUCUCUAUGCACACUCUGAGUUUAUUAAUACAUAAUAAACUAGUUAGAAACCAACACCAAUUAUCUUGCAUUGGGCCAUUUAAAUGUAAGUGGUUGGGGGAGGUGUGUCGUAGGCAGUGGGAAGGGUUUGUAAUGAUGCUGCAGAACAGUACACCAGUUUAUGGUCAAUGCAAGGGAUUUUUAGUCAAAAUCAAUGGGAUGAGACAUCCACUAUCCCCUUGAGAGCAUGCAGCCGUUAGAGAAAAGCAUAUUAAUGCUGUUCGCCUUAGACGGAAUGAGCUCCCAUUCUGUUGUGUGUUUGCUUUUUGUUUAUUGUGUGCUUGAUUAGUCCCAUGGUGAUCGUCUCCAUCUAAGGCAGCCAAGCUGGUGUCAUUGUGUCUCAACUCCCUCUCUCCAGUGCUCUUCUCUGAAUGCUGACUUAAUCACACACAACCUGUGCCGGGCUCCCUUUUUCUGUUUUGAUCUGACAUCCCCAGUGCCAAGCUGUCUCCUCACUCUGACUGGGUCUCUGUGUGUAUCCAGAUGCAGCAUUGACCUGGACGUGAUCCCUAAUUAAAUACAGAAACAGGGAUGAAAGAUGGUUUAGUGCAACGUAUGACUCGCCAUUCCUCAUGAGAAUUAGAUUUAACCUUACUGCCGAAGGCCUGCACAGACUAUGAGCCUUUGUGCUAUUAUGCUCCAUCUAAAACUUUCCUUCGUGUCAGAGGCUCAUUAGAUAAUUCAAUUUAGAAUAGUGUAUGAUUUCCUCAAUUAAAUCAUAAACUAUCUGUAACAGUGAGUCACACACUGAUGUACUGUUCUGCCUCUUUUUCUCUCAAUGAAGAAAAGCUGCAGAGCAGAAUCAGACUGUACUGCAAAAGAUCACACCACCACUGACUUUUUCUUAGUUUUUUUAAUUUUAGUCCAGACAUGUGUUCCUUUUGAAUAGGAUUAAGCUCUUUACACAAAAUAGCACAUGUGAGUUCCUGUGACAUAAACAUGUGAAUACAAAGUAUUCAUUUGCAUAUUGUAACGACUCAUACAAAAUGGAGUACCACCUUUUUAGUGUAAAACCGCUACCUCCUUCAGAUUACGGUUGCAAUUAAUAUUGUGCUUUUUAAAAAGCACACAGAUACAAUAAGUGUCCACAUCUGUUAAGAAUUUGAUAAGAAGGAGGAAAAUUCAUUACAUUUAAAUAUAGAGCUUUUGGUGUUGUCUGUUUUCACUGGCAAAUUAUUUGUAUGUACCAGAGCCACAUUUCCACUUAAUUUUUUUUCUAAACCCAACAAAAAGCAACAAGAAGGUGACGGUGAUGAUACCCUAGUUAUCACCAUCUUGUGUUUCUUUAUUAUGUCUUACUUCAUCCAUUAUUAUAUGGCAAAUGACAUGUUUGUAUGAAUUCAACUGCUGGUUCAUAGUUCAUAGAAAAUCUUGAGAGUACAGACAGAUAAAAGGCAUCAGGAGUAAAAGAGACAGAGCUGCUAGAGUGAGAUCACACUGACAUACUGCCAGGCAAAGUUCAGGACCGGGCGGGUAAAAAAACACAGUGACAAGUCACAUUACCUAAAAAACUGAACAAUGCCUUGGGGUUACAGCUGACAGCACGAUAUUAUUAUGAAAUCAACAACAGUCACAUUGGUAAAUAAUGCUCACAUUCACACUGAGAGCAGCAUACUGUAGAAACACAUUGAGUGUGAAAUGAUGUAGGUGUAUAAUUUUGUUGAUGGUUCGAAAUGCGUUAAUUGAGUAAAGUGUUUAUGUGUGUAUGUGCCUAUGUGUACGUUUGUUGCCAGCUUCAUAGUGAUGUGGGUAAUGGAAAGAAUGAGGCAAUGUUGUUUGUUCAUUUGCCUGCACAUAAUAGAUUUAUUUAAAAUUUCAUGAGUUUGAAUGCAAGGACUGUUUGUUCCCAGCUGAAUUGGAUGCGGCACAAUUUGCCUGGGGUGAUGUGGAGGAAAGGUGUGUG